CAGUGAGUCUCAGGCGGGGGGGUAGGGGUCCCUUGUACCGUAAACCCUCUACAUGACGGGCUGACAACUGCGGCUGAGGCGUCAAAGGUCGCUGAGACCUUCAUUUCCGAACCAGUGACUAUCCGUCCUUUGGGGCUGGCGGUCUCCGUGCGGCUUCCGUAGGGAAGUUGAUUUCGGGGUUUACCAGGCGAACCCGGCCAGGCUCGGGAGAGAGCAACCUAAGUUUGGACGUUACGCGCUCAAGGGAGUGCGGGUAAUAGGCUAGGGCUUGAGGGUUCCCGGCGGAGUCUAGGCGUCGAACCGCAGUGACUCACUG
rnacentral:SRP_RNA from 1 species